rnacentral:tRNA from 1 species
GCCCUCCUAGCUCAAUGGACAGAGCGCUGGCUUCCGGUGCCAGAGGUUGCGAGUUCGAUCCUCGCGGAGGGCACC